ACAUUGCUGCCAUGUACACCCAUGCUCUAUUCUCCACUUUUUUCUACGGUCUACUCUUCAUUUCCAAUCUUCUGACAUUCCACUCAACAUCCUUGGUGACUUCAACAUCCCUAUUAACCAACCUAACAGCCAAAUAACUUCAAGAUUCUCUCAAUUACCUCCUCCUUUAGCUACACUUAGUGGAUUAACCAUCCUGCUCUCAAUGCCAGUAAUAUCCUAGAUCUCAUCUGUGCAAGAAUCAUCUACUAAAUUUUGCUAUCAAAGUGCCCUUCAUCUAGUAUCUUAAAUAUAACUUAUCUUUUUUGAUUUCUGUGAAUUCUCCUCUUCUGUCAAGUUUCCACUUGCAACUUCCUUGAUAUAUUACAUUAAAAUAUAUGCAAUAGACUAUAAAGAACAGACUUUGUAAUAAUCUUAAUUUUUCCUUAAUGUAUUUAGGGACCGAUUCAGUGUUACUGUGCAGAGCUGGAUUCCCAGUAGCCAGAAAUGGAGUAAAACUCCAUUUUAUUACAUAACUCUGCUGUUGUCUGCCUUCGUCAGACAAAUCAAAGCUAAUUGAAUCCUAUAUAUCAGAUUACUAUUGAAUAACUUUUGCUCUUGUAUUUUGAAUUCCCAAGAUGAAUAAAAAAAUAAGCAUGACUGCAGGAUGCAAUUGACAACAUCAAUAACUAACAACAAAAUUGAAGUCACUUUGUCUCUACAGUUCCCAUUUGUACCUACCACCAUUCACACGAUCUGUGUACUGAGAGACAGCUGCGGU